rnacentral:tRNA from 1 species
GCCUGGGUGGCUCAGUUGGUUAAGCGUCUGACUUUAACUCAGGUCAUGAUCUCGAGGUUCCUGGGUUUGAGUUCCACAUCAGGCU